rnacentral:lncRNA from 1 species
UCAGCAUCACGUGUGUUUUCCUCACACAUAAACAAUAUUUUAGGCAGAGUUAUUUGCAGUACUCUGGUGUAGACAAUAAACACACAAAGCUAUUUUGUGAAAACGUGCAGCUCUUAAUUUAAAUCUGACUUUUGCUCUUAAAUCUUCAAAAAGAUGUGGAGAAGGACAGGAAAAAUAUGGAUGCUGCUGAGUUCCAGGCACCUCAAGACCUCAUUCUGCAGAUGGUGCUGAGCAGGGUUUGAUGUUGAGCUGCUGCAUCAUGGUCCUCCAUCCAAAUCCACACUGCAACAUUGGUAUGCCCGCUGCCAGUGGCCCAGAUACCAGAAUCCUGAUUCAAGAAGACAGAAGAUCACUGGCAGAAACAGAAGAAAAUCAGUCUAGAGGAGAAAAAGCUGUCUUGAGAAUAUUCAAUUUUCAUCAUUAAACCAGCUAAAAGGUGACUUUGAAGAAGAAGAUAAACUUUCCACACUGAUGAUGGAUUCUUUUUUCUGCUAUUUUGAUUAAAAAUGAAGCUGAAAAUCUUUUAAAGCUUUAGAGGCAGA